rnacentral:rRNA from 1 species
UACGUAGGAGACGAGCGUUGUCCGGAGUUACUGGGCGUAAAGGGUGCGCAGGUGGCGGCGCGCGUGGGGGUGAAAUCGCCCGGCUUAACUGGGCGGGGCCUUCCAGACGGCGUGGCUUGAGCAGCGGAGGGGGGGACGUGGAAUCCGGGUGGAGCGGUGAAAUGCGUAGAGAUCCGGAGGAACACCGACGGCGCAGGCAGCGUCCUGGCCGC